GGGUUGUGAGGUUAAGCGACUAAGCGUACACGGUGGAUGCCCUGGCAGUCAGAGGCGAUGAAGGGCGUGCUAAUCUGCGAUAAGCGCCGGUAAGGUGAUAUGAACCGUUAUAACCGGCGAUACCCGAAUGGGGAAACCCAGUGUGAUUCGUCACACUAUCAUUAACUGAAUCCAUAGGUUAAUGAGGCGAACCGGGGGAACUGAAACAUCUAAGUACCCCGAGGAAAAGAAAUCAACCGAGAUUCCCCCAGUAGCGGCGAGCGAACGGGGAGGAGCCCAGAGCCUGAAUCAGCAUGUGUGUUAGUGGAAGCGUCUGGAAAGGCGCGCGAUACAGGGUGACAGCCCCGUACACAAAAGCGCAUGUGCUGUGAGCUCGAUGAGUAGGGCGGGACACGUGGUAUCCUGUCUGAAUAUGGGGGGACCAUCCUCCAAGGCUAAAUACUCCUGACUGACCGAUAGUGAACCAGUACCGUGAGGGAAAGGCGAAAAGAACCCCGGCGAGGGGAGUGAAAAAGAACCUGAAACCGUGUACGUACAAGCAGUGGGAGCACCCUUCGGGGUGUGACUGCGUACCUUUUGUAUAAUGGGUCAGCGACUUAUAUUCUGUAGCAAGGUUAACCGUAUAGGGGAGCCGGAGGGAAACCGAGUCUUAACCGGGCGUUAAGUUGCAGGGUAUAGACCCGAAACCCGGUGAUCUAGCCAUGGGCAGGUUGAAGGUUGGGUAACACUAACUGGAGGACCGAACCGACUAAUGUUGAAAAAUUAGCGGAUGACCUGUGGCUGGGGGUGAAAGGCCAAUCAAACCGGGAGAUAGCUGGUUCUCCCCGAAAGCUAUUUAGGUAGCGCCUCGUGAAUUCAUCUCCGGGGGUAGAGCACUGUUUCGGCUAGGGGGCCAUCCCGGCUUACCAACCCGAUGCAAACUGCGAAUACCGGAGAAUGUUAUCACGGGAGACACACGGCGGGUGCUAACGUCCGUCGUGAAGAGGGAAACAACCCAGACCGCCAGCUAAGGUCCCAAAGUCAUGGUUAAGUGGGAAACGAUGUGGGAAGGCCCAGACAGCCAGGAUGUUGGCUUAGAAGCAGCCAUCAUUUAAAGAAAGCGUAAUAGCUCACUGGUCGAGUCGGCCUGCGCGGAAGAUGUAACGGGGCUAAACCAUGCACCGAAGCUGCGGCAGCGAACGUAUCACCCAAGACAACUUUACGGAGUUGACGAUUGACGGAGCGAAGCGACGUCAAAGCGUUCAUUAAAGUCGAGUUGGCUUAGGGAUACGUUCGUUGGGUAGGGGAGCGUUCUGUAAGCCUGUGAAGGUGUGUCGUGAGGCAUGCUGGAGGUAUCAGAAGUGCGAAUGCUGACAUAAGUAACGAUAAAGCGGGUGAAAAGCCCGCUCGCCGGAAGACCAAGGGUUCCUGUCCAACGUUAAUCGGGGCAGGGUGAGUCGACCCCUAAGGCGAGGCCGAAAGGCGUAGUCGAUGGGAAACGGGUUAAUAUUCCCGUACUUGGUGUUACUGCGAAGGGGGGACGGAGAAGGCUAUGUUGGCCGGGCGACGGUUGUCCCGGUUUAAGCGUGUAGGUGUGUGUUCCAGGUAAAUCCGGUUCACUUUAACACUGAGGCGUGACGACGAGGCACUACGGUGCUGAAGCAACAAAUGCCCUGCUUCCAGGAAAAGCCUCUAAGCAUCAGGUAACAUCAAAUCGUACCCCAAACCGACACAGGUGGUCAGGUAGAGAAUACCAAGGCGCUUGAGAGAACUCGGGUGAAGGAACUAGGCAAAAUGGUGCCGUAACUUCGGGAGAAGGCACGCUGACACGUAGGUGAAGUGAUUUACUCAUGGAGCUGAAGUCAGUCGAAGAUACCAGCUGGCUGCAACUGUUUAUUAAAAACACAGCACUGUGCAAACACGAAAGUGGACGUAUACGGUGUGACGCCUGCCCGGUGCCGGAAGGUUAAUUGAUGGGGUCAGCGCAAGCGAAGCUCCUGAUCGAAGCCCCGGUAAACGGCGGCCGUAACUAUAACGGUCCUAAGGUAGCGAAAUUCCUUGUCGGGUAAGUUCCGACCUGCACGAAUGGCGUAAUGAUGGCCAGGCUGUCUCCACCCGAGACUCAGUGAAAUUGAACUCGCUGUGAAGAUGCAGUGUACCCGCGGCAAGACGGAAAGACCCCGUGAACCUUUACUAUAGCUUGACACUGAACAUUGAGCCUUGAUGUGUAGGAUAGGUGGGAGGCUUUGAAGUGUGGACGCCAGUCUGCAUGGAGCCGACCUUGAAAUACCACCCUUUAAUGUUUGAUGUUCUAACGUGGACCCGUAAUCCGGGUUGCGGACAGUGUCUGGUGGGUAGUUUGACUGGGGCGGUCUCCUCCUAAAGAGUAACGGAGGAGCACGAAGGUUGGCUAAUCCUGGUCGGACAUCAGGAGGUUAGUGCAAUGGCAUAAGCCAGCUUGACUGCGAGCGUGACGGCGCGAGCAGGUGCGAAAGCAGGUCAUAGUGAUCCGGUGGUUCUGAAUGGAAGGGCCAUCGCUCAACGGAUAAAAGGUACUCCGGGGAUAACAGGCUGAUACCGCCCAAGAGUUCAUAUCGACGGCGGUGUUUGGCACCUCGAUGUCGGCUCAUCACAUCCUGGGGCUGAAGUAGGUCCCAAGGGUAUGGCUGUUCGCCAUUUAAAGUGGUACGCGAGCUGGGUUUAGAACGUCGUGAGACAGUUCGGUCCCUAUCUGCCGUGGGCGCUGGAGAACUGAGGGGGGCUGCUCCUAGUACGAGAGGACCGGAGUGGACGCAUCACUGGUGUUCGGGUUGUCAUGCCAAUGGCACUGCCCGGUAGCUAAAUGCGGAAGAGAUAAGUGCUGAAAGCAUCUAAGCACGAAACUUGCCCCGAGAUGAGUUCUCCCUGAGACUUUAGGUCUCCUGAAGGAACGUUGAAGACGACGACGUUGAUAGGCCGGGUGUGUAAGCGCAGCGAUGCGUUGAGCUAACCGGUACUAAUGAACCGUGAGGCUUAACCUUACAACGCCGAAG
rnacentral:rRNA from 1 species